UACGUAGGGUGCGAGCGUUGUCCGGAAUUAUUGGGCGUAAAGAGCUCGUAGGUGGCGUGUCGCGUCUGCCGUGAAAGCCCAUGGCUUAACUGUGGGUCUGCGGUGGAUACGGGCAGGCUGGAGGCUGGUAGGGGCAAGCGGAAUUCCUGGUGUAGCGGUGAAAUGCGCAGAUAUCAGGAGGAACACCGGUGGCGAAGGCGGAUCUCUGGGCCGUAACUGACGCUGAGGAGCGAAAGCAUGGGGAGCGAACAGG
rnacentral:rRNA from 1 species